CGAAGUUUCUGCUUUAAACGUCAACAUAAGGGCUGCCUUUAACACGUUCUUGUGAUGAUGAUACCCGAUGCUGCAAUAUCCUGUCAUUGACCAAGAAAAACGCUAAUUAUUGGGGAUAAGAGAUUGGUAGGUGGUGUUUAAAAAGAAGUGGUGCGUCCGAAUGGACUCGAACCAUCGACCCCCACCA
rnacentral:antisense_RNA from 1 species